GGGAAUGUGGCUCAAUGGUAGAAUGUUUGCCUAGCAUGUGUAAGACCCUGGGUUCAAACCCCAGCACCACCA
rnacentral:tRNA from 1 species